rnacentral:lncRNA from 1 species
CGCAUCUUCUCCUCCUGCUCCCACAUCUUCUCCUCCUGCUCCUGCAUCUUCUCUUCCUGCUCCCACAGCUUCUCCUUCUGUUCCGGCAGCCUCUGCUGCUCCCACAUCUUCUUCUUCCUGCUCCCACAUCUUCUCCUCCUGCUCCCACAUCUUCUCCUCCUGCUCCCGCAUCUUCUCUUCCUGCUCCUGCAUCUUCUCCUCCUGCUCCCGCAUCAUCU